rnacentral:lncRNA from 1 species
AAUAUCUUUGGCCUGUAGUGCAAAGAUGAAUGAUUUCUGAUGAAUAUCUUUGGCCCGUAGUGCAAAGAUGAACAGGUGUUUAGAUGAACAUGACCAACUGAUGAAUAUCCUUGGCCUGUAGUGCAAGGAUGAAUAUAUGAUUCCAGAUAUAUAUUGAUUGAUGUUACAGGGAUAAAAAUAUUGAUGAUGGACUGUUAAAUUCAUAGAUAUUAGUAGAUUUCAUCCUCUACGUAAC